AAUACAAUAAAGGAAUCAGAACUGUAGGCCAAUGGCCCAAAAUGCAUAAGCUCAGGCACACAACUACAACAUAACAGCACCGGGACUCAACACUCUACUUCACUCUCGGCGAGGAUUGCAUGAACGAACCCUAGUCUCCUUUUCCCCUCAAGCAUUGAAACCUCUGUCGCAAACUCUUUGACUUGUCUCCAAUGGAUCCCAAAAAAGAUUGACACUGGCUCCAAAGAUUUGAUCAGCAGUCUACCAGACGCACUUAUCGGCCACAUCUUAUCCUUCCUCUCCACAAAGGACGCUGCUUUGACCUCAGUCCUCUCCAAAAGGUGGAGAAAUCUGAUAGCUUUUGUAACAAAUCUCGAUCUCGACAACACCAUCUACGACCGUCCUAAAAUGGGUAGAAAGAGAAGACUUCAUCUGCGUAAAAGCUUCAGGCUUUUUGUGGAAAGACUCAUGUCGUUACAAGGAAACGCUCCGUUGAACAAAGUCUCUCUAAGAUGUAGAAUUGGAUCUGAUCCAUCUCGUGUCAAUGGUUGGUUACUCAAAGUGUUGGAGCGCGGCGUAGUUGAUCUUGAUCUAUUCAUCUCUUCGGCAGACAAGUAUCCGUUGCCUCCGCAGGUUUUAAUGAGCAAGACGUUGGUUAGGCUGAAAGUAGCUGGAACAGAUCAGUUUGUCAUUGAUGUCAGAGAUGUUUCUCUUCCAGAGCUCAAGACUUUGCAUAUGAAUGAUGUUUCCUUUGCUGAUGAGAGUGGUGCUGCGUUUGCUAAGCUAGUUUCUGGCUGUCACGCGCUUGAGGAGUUGGUUAUUGUUAAAAUGUAUUGGGACUUUCGUGGCUCCUGCUCUGUCUCAAACUCAAAUCUCAAGAGACUAACGAUCUGUACUGAGAACAUUGAUGAGACUUCAGAGAGUGUAUCUUUCGACACUCCUAAUCUCGUCUACUUGGAAUUUACAGACAUUGUUGCGGCCAAGUAUCCAAAAGUGAAUCUUGAUUCGCUUGUCGAAGCUAGUGUAGGCAUUAGAAUGACACCUAACCAGGUCUUUCGCGGAAGAGAUCUAGUCAACCGGCAUUACGGUUAUAAGUUAAGGAAAGACGUCAAUGCAACAGAUUUUCUCGUGGGAAUAAGUAAUGUUAAGAUCCUUUACCUAUCGUCGCAGGCUCUUGAGGUCCUUACUUUCUGCUGUAAAGAGAUACCAGUCUUCAACAACCUGAUUCAUUUAACCAUUGAGACUGACCAAGACGUGGACUGGGAGUCAUUGCCGAACCUACUCAAGAACUGUCCUAAUAUAGAAACCCUUGUUUUCGAAGGACUGCAUUAUGGAGACACAAAUCAAUGUGAAGAUGAUGGAUACCGUUUCAAAGAUACAAACGAAUGUUUUGUGACGGGUGCGGACAGGUGUGUAUGCAAACCUUGGUUAGGCACUCCGAGUUGGCUAUCAUCAAGUCCUGUGAAGAAGCUGAAGGUGUUGAAGUUUGGAGAGAUCACUAAUCGUAAGGAUGACAUGGAUAAGCAGACGGAUCUGAUCAACUACUUUGUGGAAACAAUGCCGAAUCUUGAAGAAGUGGUGUUAUACUAUGAUACUCCGUUUGACAGUGAUCUGGAAAUAGUAUCAAAUGAAUUUCAACAGCUUGAGAAGGUAGCCUCAACCAAAUGCAAGAUCCAAGUAAUCUCUGAUAACAUUAGCAUCUCAACUACUGUGUACUCUACUCAAGCAACAAGUAGGCUCGCCUUCUUUAAGAAUAGAUUCCCGGUUUGAAGAUCUUCCUGCUUCCUAUCUCAGAUAAGAGCAGCAAAGCCUUGCUUCUUAGGGUUAUUCAUGUUAAUGAUAUGCGUCUUCCCGUCGUAUGUGUUCUACUCUAAUCACAUUGGUCCCACUCACCAAUUAUACGAGAUCGUUUCCGAGCUGUACUUGCUCCCACUCACCACUUAUACGAUAUCGUUUGACAUUGGAAGCCACCCAUCCCGCCACAU